GGCGAGUAGGAAUCACUCCAAAAAAUAUGGAUAUUUCAAGGUAACUAAACUGAUUAGCUGCAUCAUUCUAAUCCCAUUUUAGCACAGUCACAUUUUAAAGUAUGUCUCUAUCUUUUUUUAAGUGUUUGGAUGUUUACCUCCAAUCAACAAACCAAGGACAAACCUAGUCUGAAGUGCUAUCAGACAAAUCAGAAAUAUGUUUCCCACUGAGAAAUUGCAUGGUCAAGAUUUAUUGUACAAGAUAGUGCCAUGAUUUUUCUGGGAACCUCAGCUGGCUCAGCCAUUUAGCCAGUCAACCGCAUAUGAAUAAGAUGACGGAAAUGGUCUACAUAGGACUUUUCGUCUUGGGAACUUCCAAAGUAGAUGUGAAGGCAAGUUCUAACAAGGUGACACAGGGGGCUCAAACUCCAUCCUACCCAAUGACCCCACGCUCCCACUGGACGAGUACAGUUGAUAAAGGAUGUAAAAAUCAGCUGCCCCUUGGCCUUUAUAGAUUAACGAAUAUGAGCUGUCAGCACCUCUCAUCUCCAUUAACAACGAUUUACAUCAAGUUUAAUGAGCCUGCCAGGGCCAGAUAAGACACUCACAAUGACUUCUGGGUCUGCUGUAUGCAUUAUUUCUGUUCUAGCAGCUUUGCUCAUGUGCAAAACUGCUUAAAGAGAGUUAGGUUGCUAUUAUAAUAAAAGUUAUAUUUUGUAGGGCAUUCCAU
ensembl:lncRNA